GACGUAGGAAGCAAGCGUUGUCCGGAAUUACUGGGCGUAAAGAGCUCGUAGGCGGGAUCGUAAGUCUUAGAGUAAAUCUCACGGCUCAACCGUGGGGCCUUCUGAGAUACUGCGAUUCUUGAGGAUGUCAGAGGAAAGUGGAAUUCCCGGUGUAGCGGUGAAAUGCGCAGAUAUCAGGAGGAGCACCGAUGGCGAAGGCAGUUCUCUGGGCCGUGAACUGACGCUGAGGAGCGAAAGCGUGGGAGCGAA
rnacentral:rRNA from 1 species